UGCAGGGCGAGACUAUUCUGUCUCAAAAAAAAAAAAAAGAAGAAGGCCCUGUGGAUAAGGCUCAUUGAAUCAGCUGGCGUGACACAACCAUCCCUGAACCAAUCGCUGUGAUCAGUAGGGUAGGCUUCACUGAUCAGUCAGCCUUGGGUCUUGUGCCUCACACCCUCCCACCAGCACUGGUGGGGGAAUCUGCCCCAUCUGAAACAUGAACACUGGCAAUCAAGAAGGGAAAUAGCCGCAGGCAGGCAAAAACAACAGGUGUCCACGGCAAGCCUCUGUUCAUAUCCUCCCCUCUGCCUGGAGCCCAUGGUGGAAGUAUUUACACCACAGAAAUGGGCAAAUGCUGCAAACCAGGGCUGUUUUGUUUGUUUGUUUUUCCCUUGGAGAGCCUCUUUAUCAGCACAACACUGCCAGAGAGGGGUUUGAAAAGUUCCUCUGGUCAGAGGUCAAAGAGCACUGACAAUUAGCCCCAAGAAAUCAGAACAGCCAGGUAUGGUGGCUCAUGCCUGUAAUCCCAGCAGUUUGGGAGGCUGAGGCAGGAGGAUCUUGAGCUCAGGAUUUCGAGACCAGCCUGAGCAACAUGGUGAAACUCCAUCUCUACAAAAAAUACAAAAAAUUAGCUGCGUGGUGGUGUGUGCCCGUGGUUCCAACUACUUGGGUGGCUGAGGUGGGAGGAUUGCUUGAACCCGGGAGGUUGAGGCUU
rnacentral:lncRNA from 1 species